UCUCCACCACUGAUAGACCUUGAACAACCUGUUAUUCUUUUGGUUUGCACUGGGAUGGGGGAAAAAAAAAAAAAUCCCUGCACUUCCUAUCUGUCUUUGUGGCGACCCAGAUUAAAUAAGGAACUACAUUU